ACAGCACAUCUCCCUAAAUGAUGGCAUGCCAGGCUGGUGAACACUAACCUCCAAGAGAGAAGUCAUCUGUCACCGGGCUCUCAGACAGCUUGCCUUAACCCACAGACUUCUAAGGCAGAGAAUGCUAUAUGGGAACCUGGAAGGACAUUACUAUCAGAGCAGCAGACAGAGAUUUAAAUAGAAACAUCUUUCCAACACUCACACCAAAUUUGGGAAGUGAAGCGACUAAGAUGUCCGCAAAGUGAAGAGGAACCUGGCUCACACCUCAGGUGAUUCAGGCAGCACUGUGCUCCAGCACUCAGGAUGAUGCAGGUUGCUCUCGCCAGCUGUGCUCCAGGCUCUCCCUCUUAGGGUGUGAUUUAGGGGCUAUUUCCAGUCUAAUGGGAUAAUUUAUAACCCAGUCCCUAAAACCAAGAGGACUGCAGUUCUGUGGCUGAGAAUUGUAGAAUUUCAGAGCUGCGAAUGAAAAUCAGAUCCAACCCAAACAAACCAAGUAAUAACAGCAACAACGAUAAAGCAAGGAGCCAAACACCCCCAGCCACCGUGCGGCAUCUAAACCCCAGCCCCCGCCCCUUGCAGCGGCAGAAUCCGGGAUUUCACGGCUGUGACAGCAGGUAAAUUGUGCCCCACACACCCAGCAGACCUCUGUGCCAAGAUGAGAAUUCUCCACUGCUAGCACCUGCCAGGGCUGACUUCUCUGCAGCCUGUCUCGUCAGCACAGGAGGGGAGAGAGAGCCUUGCUCUCAGGCCCCAGGACUCAGCAUCCGGACCACACUGAGACUCCGGACUCCUCCGCGUCUCCUGCCUGGAUGGCCUUUCCUUCCUUAGUCUUAGCAGGACGCCUGAGUUUUCAUCUGGGUCAGGGUCUCUUUUAAGGUGUGGGUUCAGGACUGAAUACAAUUUAUAAAAAAAGAGGGUGGGGGCAGGGCAUAUCAGCUACUUUUCUCUUUGCUGUUGACAAGAAGCAAUUUAG
rnacentral:lncRNA from 1 species